UUAAUACUCCCUCCGUCCGAAAAUACUUGUCCUCGAAAUGGAUGUAUCUAGACUUAUUUUAGUUAUAGAUACAUCCAUUUCAUCCAUUUCUAGGACAAGUAAGUCUAGAUACAUCCAUUUCGAGGACAAGUAUUCUCGGACGGAGGGAGUAAUAA
rfam:Triticum urartu cultivar G1812 contig174941, whole genome shotgun sequence.